ACGAAUCCUCGUUUUUCAUGUAAUGGCCGAUUGUUGAUUUCUUGUCAAAAGUUUUCCUACUUUUCCACGAAAAUUACCGAUGAAUUCAUAGGAAGGAACGGGAAAGGAUCGAAACGGGAGUUUCUUUUUAUCUUGCUAGGUCAACAACCCUAGUGACAUACAUUAUUUUUUCCGAACACAUUUUUCUACAAAUUAUGCAUCGACAGACAAAGAAAGCUAUGGGAACAUAAUCAAGGCCAUGGGUAAUCUCCAUGUUUAUAACAUUAACUUUGGGGAAGUCACAUGAAAAUAUGCAGGGCAACAUGUGUUGUAUUUUUCUGAAUAUUUUAGUCAAGCAAUUCAACAUGACUAACUGUUUGCUGCCAAAGUUAGUUGGAACUCUAACUCAAACAAAGCCACAGACAGGAAAAUUAUUCUUUUCUUCCAGAAAAUUCUAGUGAAAGGCGGGACAAAUUCAAGUUGAAGUCAGCUUAUUUGCAAACAAAUCGCAAACAGACCUUCGGGUACUUUGCUACUCUGCCCAGUCGUCCGUGGAUGCUAAGGACUGUCACUAGGUAGUUAAAAUUAGUCCACUAGACGACGCGGGUGUCUUCGUUAGUCGUUCGAGAGGCGCAUGAAAGGAGGCGAGUCGCGAGUGUCUUCGUGAGGGAGAAAUAUUUGCCAUUUGUUUACGAGACGCUGACUGGAAGUGUAUUCCAAAUUCAUUACGGAAUUGAGUUGUCGAUCUAAAUUUUCAGCCAAAUGUAAUUGGCAAUCUGGCAUAUAAUUUCACUUGGCUAAAUAAUGUAACCACUUUGGUCGAAACUUUUGUCGAAAUGUCGGCCAUGGUUUUAGCUGCACCCAUACGGCUCUACUUCUCAUCUCGUGCUGUAACAUUUCAGAGCUAUUGAUUUUCAGGUCAGAGAUGGAAAUCCCUUUGCUCAACUGAUGCAGAGAUUGAGGACAUGAGAAAAGUCUGAGCUUCAUGGAUGUUGUAUCUUUAAUGUGGUUUUGUUGCAGCCAGCUGGUGAUGAGAAAGAUGUGUGUGAGUCAAGUUGAGCUGAAGGCCUGCAGCUGCAGCAUGCAGUUUAUGGAGCUGGUGUUAUCCCAAGUGUCACUGCAGGAAAACAUCUUGAAUUGGAGUUCAUGGUCAGUUGGAGCUGUUUGGUGUACAGUGAUUUUGCAGUCCCUUUCCAGUUGAGAGAUGCUCUGAAAUGGAGCUUGUGCAGACUUGCAGUUCAACAUCACACUUAAAUGAGUUGAUUUUCAUUUGUCUAUGUUGGUGUUCAUGCAGUGUUGAACAGUUGGGUUUUAUAGUCAAUUCUGCCUGAUGGCUGUCGGUCUUAUUUUAUCCGUCUCUUGCUACCUGUGCCGGCGUUGAGGUAAAGCUUGAUGUUUCGUUCAGUUAUUGACUUUUAAUUAAAGUCUAUUCUUUUUUCAGUUGAAUCGUUUGCUGCCGUUCCAUAGACUUGAUCCAUUGGUUAAACUGAGGAGAGGUUGCUGAAAUUCAAGACUCGUCAAU